AGACUCUGUGCGCGUGCAUAUCAAUAAGCGGAGGAAAAGAAACUAACAAGGAUUCCCUUAGUAACGGCGAGUGAAGCGGGAAGAGCUCAAAUUUGAAAUCUUCAAGGUUCUACCUUGACGAAUUGUAGUUUAUAGAAGUGUUUUCUGUUAGUAGAGUGGCAAAAGUUCUUUGGAAUAGGACAUCAUAGAGGGUGAGAAUCCCGUAUUUGACCAGUUACUUUCCAAGCUGUGUGAUACACUUUCAAAGAGUCGGAUUGUUUGGGAAUGCAGUCCAAAAUGGGUGGUAAAUUUCAUCUAAAGCUAAAUAUUGGCGAGAGACCGAUAGCGAACAAGUACCGUGAGGGAAAGAUGAAAAGAACUUUGAAAAGAGAGUUAAACAGUACGUGAAAUUGUCAAAAGGGAAGCGUUUGACACCAGUGUUGUUUUCUCGAAAAUCAAUUAAAAAUGAUGGGAUUUUGUGUUGUAUUGACUUUAUCAGCUUUCUGCACUUUUUUCUUAUCUUUUUUAAUGCACUUUUCGUUUAACAAGUCAACAUCAAUUUCUUUUGUUGUAAAAGGGUAUGAGGAAGGUGGCUUUCUUUUCGGAGAAAGUGUUUAUAGCCUUGUGCCUCUACAAUCGGAGAGAUUGAGGACAGCAGCGUAGACUCUUCGGGGAUAGAUACACUUGUGCUAAGCUAUAGCCUUGUAUAGACAACUUGUUGACUAUGCUCAGUCAUGUAGCUUACUCGCUUGUGCUAUUUUACCUACGCUUAGGAUGUUG
rnacentral:rRNA from 1 species